GGCGGACGGGUGAGGAAUACAUCGGAAUUUGCCCAUGUCGUGGGGGAUAACGUAGGGAAACUUACGCUAAUACCGCAUACGACCUAACGGUGAGAGCGGGGGAUCGCCAGCACUCGCGCGAUUGGAUGAGCCGAUGUCGGAUUAGCUAGUUGGUGGGGUAAAGGCCUACCAAGGCGACGAUCCGUAGCUGGUCUGAGAGGAUGAUCAGCCACACUGGGACUGAGACACGGCCCAGACUCCUACGGGAGGCAGCAGUGGGGAAUAUUGGACAAUGGGGGCAACCCUGAUCCAGCAAUGCCGCGUGUGUGAAGAAGGCCUUCGGGUUGUAAAGCACUUUUAUCCGGAACGAAACGUGUCGGGUUAAUAACCCGGCAAACUGACGGUACCGGAGGAAUAAGCACCGGCUAACUUCGUGCCAGCAGCCGCGGUAAUACGAAGGGUGCCAGCGUUACUCGGAAUUACUGGGCGUAAAGGGUGCGUAGGUGGUCU
rnacentral:rRNA from 1 species